rnacentral:lncRNA from 1 species
AAUAGAAUAAAGGAUUCACAAUAUAAACAAUAAUAGAGUUUUAUACACAAUAGAACAGAGUAUUCACAAUAUAAACAAUAAUUAUGAACUGUUUUUUUAUGAAUUACCCAACACAUCAAAUUAUGUACACAAUAGAAUAGAGAAUUUUUGUAAAACCCAAAAUGAGGGUAAAACUCAACACAUCAAUUUUUUUGUAAAACCCACCAAAAUUGUGAUAUGAAGAAGUUUAUAUUUGAAGCCAUCGUACAAAACUUACUGAACCUGCAAAAUUUGAACAAAAAAAAAAAAAGAAAAGAAAAGAAAAGGCCAUAAACAGAACAUUAAAUCAACCCAUCAAACCUAGGUAAAAAAAAAACUCUACAAUCCCAGUAAAAAAAUGAAAAGAAAAAAAAAUAGCAAAAAGGAAAAGGGAGGCGGUGGAAAAACAAAAAGGAAUAAAAUUAUUUCUUUCGUGUUUCAAGAUCCAAGCACAAUCAAUCGAAUUAUGUUAGUGGACAUAAAAAAAGAAAUUAAGAUUUCUUUGGGGUUCAAAAAUAAAAGAAAGAAAGAAAUUAGAAUUGCAGAUGAAUGUAUGUCAUUUCAUCCUAAUUACAUCCAAACCCCUGCCCCCCCUCUAAAUAUUUUCAAGUAUUUUUUAUAAUUUAAAAAAAAAAAAUUACAUAGCCUUGACUAUUUUCAAAUCUCCUAGACUAAAACCAUCAAGUUUUUUUCCUUUUCCUUUUCCUUUUCUUUUCUUUUGUUUUUCAUAAAAAAAAUAGAAAUAAGAAAACUUAACCAUGGUUAUUUUCUAACCCUAAAUCUACGAACCACUAUCAACACGUGAAGUUGGGAUUUUAGAGACCAUAAACCAAAUGCCUCUCAAGACUAAGAGGGCGGUCCAAGAAGGAUGAUUAUGUGAUGAAGUUAGCAGGGCGGCCGGCGAAGAAUGUUGCGGGGCGACCGCCCAAGGUUAGUGGGCUGAAGAUGGGCUGAAGAAGCCCAGAAACUUACAGGAAGUUUGAAAAAAAGGAAAAAAAAAACUAUCCAAUAAGUUUUAAAAAAAAGGUGAAUAUUUGUUGUGUUUUUCAUGUGUUUUCCAAUCUGUGCUAUUAUGUACGUGAAUAUUUGUAGGCUUCUUCUAUGUAAAACCCAUUUGUGUUUUUGAUUAUUUUUAAUGAACGUUUGAUUCAUUUGGGCUUUGCUAUUAGUUACAGGUAAAAUCCAUUUGGAUUUCUUAUUUUUCUUUUGUGAAAACAAAGAACAAAUUGUGGACUGAGGAGGAAACGAAGAAAAGAAAAACAAAGCAGAAACAAACAAAAGAGUUACCUGAGCAGAAACAAAGAAGAAGCUUCUUGCAUACUGGGGAGGAAAGCAACAAUGGUGAUCUGAACAUGAGAGAGAGAGUAUAAGCAAAAAUAAACAGAAUCACUUGAUAAAAGUGAACAAAUUGUGUGUGUUACCUGAGCUCUUGAGUUCGGAAGAAGAGAGAGAGAUGAAUGGAAUAGAUGCAGAAAGCUCUUGAGCUCUUGAGAGAGAAAAAGAGAUGGCGUGGAAUAGAUGAGAGAGAGGUUGAUUUGAGAGAGAGGGCAGCAA